UUGCGGCGUGCCUAAUACAUGCAAGUAGAACGCUGAAGAGAGGAGCUUGCUCUUCUUGGAUGAGUUGCGAACGGGUGAGUAACGCGUAGGUAACCUGCCUUGUAGCGGGGGAUAACUAUUGGAAACGAUAGCUAAUACCGCAUAACAAUAGAUGACACAUGUCAUUUAUUUGAAAGGGGCAAAUGCUCCACCACAAGAUGGACCUGCGUUGUAUUAGCUAGUAGGUGAGGUAACGGCUCACCUAGGCGACGAUACAUAGCCGACCUGAGAGGGUGAUCGGCCACACUGGGACUGAGACACGGCCCAGACUCCUACGGGAGGCAGCAGUAGGGAAUCUUCGGCAAUGGGGGCAACCCUGACCGAGCAACGCCGCGUGAGUGAAGAAGGUUUUCGGAUCGUAAAGCUCUGUUGUAAGUCAAGAACGAGUGUGAGAGUGGAAAGUUCACACUGUGACGGUAGCUUACCAGAAAGGGACGGCUAACUACGUGCCAGCAGCCGCGGUAAUACGUAGGUCCCGAGCGUUGUCCGGAUUUAUUGGGCGUAAAGCGAGCGCAGGCGGUUUGAUAAGUCUGAAGUUAAAGGCUGUGGCUCAACCAUAGUUCGCUUUGGAAACUGUCAAACUUGAGUGCAGAGGGGGAGAGUGGAAUUCCAUGUGUAGCGGUGAAAUGCGUAGAUAUAUGGAGGAACACCGGUGGCGAAAGCGGCUCUCUGGUCUGUAACUGACGCUGAGGCUCGAAAGCGUGGGGAGCGAACAGGAUUAGAUACCCUGGUAGUCCACGCCGUAAACGAUGAGUGCUAGGUGUUGGAUCCUUUCCGGGAUUCAGUGCCGCAGCUAACGCAUUAAGCACUCCGCCUGGGGAGUACGACCGCAAGGUUGAAACUCAAAGGAAUUGACGGGGGCCCGCACAAGCGGUGGAGCAUGUGGUUUAAUUCGAAGCAACGCGAAGAACCUUACCAGGUCUUGACAUCCCGAUGCUAUUUCUAGAGAUAGAAAGUUACUUCGGUACAUCGGUGACAGGUGGUGCAUGGUUGUCGUCAGCUCGUGUCGUGAGAUGUUGGGUUAAGUCCCGCAACGAGCGCAACCCCUAUUGUUAGUUGCCAUCAUUCAGUUGGGCACUCUAGCGAGACUGCCGGUAAUAAACCGGAGGAAGGUGGGGAUGACGUCAAAUCAUCAUGCCCCUUAUGACCUGGGCUACACACGUGCUACAAUGGUUGGUACAACGAGUUGCGAGUCGGUGACGGCAAGCUAAUCUCUUAAAGCCAAUCUCAGUUCGGAUUGUAGGCUGCAACUCGCCUACAUGAAGUCGGAAUCGCUAGUAAUCGCGGAUCAGCACGCCGCGGUGAAUACGUUCCCGGGCCUUGUACACACCGCCCGUCACACCACGAGAGUUUGUAACACCCGAAGUCGGUGAGGUAACCUUUUGGAGCCAGCCGCCUAAGGUGGGAUAGAUGAUUGGGGUGA
rnacentral:rRNA from 1 species